rnacentral:antisense_RNA from 1 species
CUUCAGCGACCCCAGCCAGAGCGGAGUGACGCGGUCCUGCCCGUAGGCGGCCAGCAGGGCACCGGCCUC